UGCAGAUAAUGAACUUAUUGACAGGUGGACAGAGUCUGUAUGCUGAUUGUCAUGUUCUGAUUUA